GAUGAAGAACGUAGCGAAAUGCGAUACGUAAUGUGAAUUGCAGAAUUCAGUGAAUCAUCGAGUCUUUGAACGCACAUUGCGCCCCCUGGUAUUCCGGGGGGCAUGCCUGUCCGAGCGUCAUUGCUGCCCUCAAGCACGGCUUGUGUGUUGGGCCUCCGUCCUCCUCCCGGGGGACGGGCCCGAAAGGCAGCGGCGGCACCGCGUCCGGUCCUCGAGCGUAUGGGGCUUCGUCACCCGCUCUUGUAGGCCCGGCCGGCGCUUGCCGACACAUCAAUCUUUUUUCCAGGUUGACCUCGGAUCAGGUAUGGAUACCCGCUGAACUUAAGCAUAUCAAUAAGCGGAGGA
rnacentral:misc_RNA from 1 species